GCUUUCCUAGAUCUAUCAGCACAGAGUCAGGCACAGUUACUCAGCUGUCCUGCAGCACGGGAGCAGAGAGCAAGGGGCUAUUUCCACACUCAGCGUUCAGAAGUGAGUGAGCACUAAGAAUGGUUUAGAGCCUGACAUUU